UAAAGGUGCUCCAUCCCAUGUCACCUCUCAAGGCUUCAACUGCUGUGCACCUCGGUGCACUCAGUGCCAUCCUUGCUACUCUAUUCUGGCCCACUUCUAACUUAUCAAUUUCACUUUCAUUCCAUGUAAUCACAUCCAUACCAUACAUUAUACAUGGAACAGCCACACUCUUCCACACUUCUCUCAACACAUCAUACUUACUUGCUCUCAUCCUUGCCGCGCUUCCCAGUCGACCUACCCGCUGGUUUACCAUACUUUAAUAGAUUCUCCCAAAAUGCACAGAGGUUAUUCCAGAGCUGCAGGACAGAGUACUUGAGGCCAUUGGUGAACAGAAAGCUGAGGUUGAACAAAGCCAAGAAUUGAUAGCUGCCCAAGGUGUAAGCAAGAUUCACAAUGAUGAGGUCAUUGAGACGUGUGCAAUGUGUCCACUGGUCUUGGCCUUCCUGACCAAGGCAGCCAAACAAAGGAAAUUCCACUUUAUUGUUGCUGAACGUGCCCCUAAAUAUGAUGGUCACCCAAUGGCAAAAGCUUUAUGUACUGCUGGAAUUCAGACAAUAUCGAUUCAAGACUCUGCAGCGUUCCCCAUCACGUCACGUGUCAACAAGGUCAUCAAAGGUCAUCGUUGGCACCAAGACGGUGGUGAGCAACGGAGGCAUUAAGACCUUUGUUGGUGCAGCCUCUCUUGCCUCACCACCAAAGUUUUAUUCUGUUCCACUGUAUGUGUGCACUCCCACAUACAAAUUUAGCUUGAUGGGCUGUGAAGAAAUAAGCCACGAAAGCAGCACUUCUGUUAUCCCAGAGGGAACAAAGUUUUCGCCGUCUGUAAAUACUGCGCUGACUGAGCUAGAUUACGUUCCUCCAGAAAAUGUCACCGGUUUCAUAACUAGCAAGUGAGUUUCUGUUGUUCAUAUGACUGUGUGGUCCUUUCAAGGGGGUUCAUACAGGAGGAAAUGGCCACAUCUCUGGUUGCAGGGCACAACACCCACUUUAUAACCUGUACCUAUGAAUAACAGGAUGUAACAGAGACGAAGCAAUGAGGAGACUGCCCAACCAUCAUGUCUGUCGUUUCCGGGCUGACAGUCCUGCAAAGAUGCUAUCCAAGACAACACACCCCAAUUUUUUCUUACACAAACACAUACAUAUGGAGAUACUGAGAAGUUGAUCUGAAGGUGAGAUAAAUUGGCCAUGAAUGGCUUUUGUUGGAGAUCAAACCUCUCCCAGGACAGUCCUGGAAAUGUGAGUCCAGCACCUUUAUUGAUCAGGCUAAGAUGAUCACCAAAGCCAGAGUGGACUUCUUUUGGUCUUGACCAUCCUGCCACUACACACACACACACACACACACCUCAUCCUCAACUUGGUCUUUUAAGAUAUACAAUAGUAAGUUUACUGUAAAGUGCAUUUUAUUUUGGUAUUUUUGGAUUGCACAAUAUAAUACAUCAGGUCAGUUACAUAA